UCACCGGAGCUGCUGGGCUCGCCGUAUGCUACUGUUGUGUCGCCGGAACUGUCCUGGGGUUUUGCCACUCAUUCAGAUUCUGCUCUGUUUUGGGUUAGUGCUGUUGCUAUUGUUUUGGCCGCCGGAAAACCUCGAUGCCGCCACCUCUGCUGCCGGAAACAGCCGCUGAGUCUUCUAUGAUGGGAAGCUCUAACCCUGCUUCAGCUUCUUUACCUGUUAAUUUCUCCAUGGGCCAUGAGAGUUGUUGCUAAGGCUGGUUGUGUCAGGAGUUUACCGCGAGUUGCCGUCGUUCUUGUCACCGGCUGUGAAGUUGGUGUUGCCGGAAUCCACCACUGGUGCAGCCGCUACUUGGUUCCCUCGAGUUUGGGUUGUUGAGACUGUUGUGAAAGUGGAUUGGAACCGAGGUUUUGGUUGCCGGGAUUUCGAUUGUUGAUUUCGGGUUGAGGCGGAAAGGACUCUGUGACGCGUUUGGGCUAUAGUUUUGCGUUGAGGUAUAUGCAGUUGAUGCCGGCGCCGACAUUGUCGGGCAGUUGUACGUGGCUCCUUUCACCAAUCCUGAACGAUACCGUGAAAGAGUUGAUUGUUGGCUCAAUAUCACCUCGCUUUCAAAAACAAAAACUUGACCUUCCUCCAGCCGAGCUGAAUAAAAAAAAGUAAAUCAACGUCUGUAAAGUGCAAACAUUGAUAACAAAAUCUAUCUAUUAAUAUUCUAUUAUAUUAAUAUACAAUAAGAGAGUAGUAGUAGGUCCUUUACUCGACAAGUGUAUAGGCUAAUUGUUCAACAAGUGUUGAAUUCAAAUACAUAACAAGUGUCCAGUCAAAUCUCUGUACAAGAAGGAGCUCGAUGGAAGUAGCGCUCUCUCUGAACAAGAAGGAGCUCGAUGAAAGUAGUAUCUGGCAAGUAAGACAGAUAAUGAAGGUGGUCGGUGCCAUGGUCAAAGAAAAGAGAAGAGGGAGGUAGAGGCUCCGAAUCUGUUUUCGGCGACGGCAAGGAUGAAGAACAAUGAGUCAAAGGUGAUGGUGGUUGUUGAUGCAACCGCAAAGAGAAAGGACAGUGGCAUCGGUUAGUGGUGUUGCAACCGUAAGUGAAAACGGAGCAACUGGCAGCAAGAUGAAGAGAACGAAUAGCUCUGAGAUCCUACUAUCGAGUGUUGCAAAGGUCAUUUUUUUCAAAUUAAAAUUUAUUUUAUUUUUUCUUUUUUUUUUAAACUAUACAAAAUUAUUUAUUUAUGUUUAAUCUGCAUUUGUUUUAGCUGAAGGUUGAGGCUGGGCUAAGUUGAUAGAGGAGCUAGUGGUAUGGUUGAUUUGCACUUGUUACAACAGCAUCCUUUCGAACAGCUUCAAAUCAUCUUCAAUUAAUGCGUAUAAGGUAUUUAUUUUUGUGUGCUAGAGUUUUAUUGCUGUCACGUUAUGAAAUAUUAUCUUUUGUGUUGCUGACAUCUUGAUUAAACAUUUGGAUGAAUGGAUAUGUACCCACUAAUUUUUAUACUAGAUGUCUAGAUCAAACACUAGUUUUACACUUGUUAUAUUAAAAAGAAAAAUUUAAAAAAAUGCUAACUAUAUUAAAAACACAAGAUAUACCUUGCACACUAUAAGUAAAGAUUUUAAAAAGAAAAUAGUUUAAUAAGAAAAUAGUUUGUACCUGUUCCCAGUAUGUUAGAUUAUCGUUAGGCCCAGUGUAAAGAACCGGCACUGGAUUCAAUAUAUCCACUACUAACUCUUGUUCCUCUUUUUUUGAGCAAAUUCAGCAUGAAACCAAAAAGCAAAAUCGUGUACCAAACUUAGAAAUAAUAUAUAAAACAACUUUUAGAGUUGCAUAGUAAACAAGGUGCGUAGGGAUCUAUCAGUUGAACCAGCAUCAUUUUUAGAGAAGGAAGAAGUUUAAGUAUUAUAAAAUUGAAGGGCAGACAUAAAAAAAAUUACCCACUUCAGUGCUGUCGACGUAAAAGGAGUUCGUACAUUCGCUAUGGAAAUACUAUAGCAGUCAAUAUCCAUCACAUGUAAUGGUAAACAAUAAACUUUUUCAAAAGAUAAAAUUACAAGCAAGAAAAGAAGAUAUUCAAAAACACUGGAUAGUCUUGCUGCAUUAUUUGUUGUCCUUGUUUUUUUUGUUUGAUUUUCUUGUUUUGGAGGAUUUUUACACUUUUUUUUCUCUUUCUUUAUAUACUCUCUCACACACAAGAAAAAAUUCAAGACUGUUAACAUAAAACAAAAUCACAAAAAAAUUGUGAUUCACCUUGUGAGGGUGAGCCAAAAGUUUUUCUUCUUUGAUUCUGUCUAUGGUCAGUUGUUGAAAUGCGUUUCGUUUGGUGAACGGUUUCAUGCGUGACACUGCAAUUAUUUUAAAUUGCACCACAAAAUAAGUAUAGUCAAAAUUUUUUUCAAUGACAAAUAAAUUUUGACUAUACUUAUUUUGUGGUAAAAUUUAAAAUAAUGGCAGUGUCACGCAUGAUACCGUUCACCAAACGAAACGCAUUUCAACAACCGAUUGUGAACAGAAUUAAAGAAAAAAAACUUUUGGCUCACCCUCAUAAGGUGAGUCACAAAUUCUUUUUUGUGAUUUUGUUUUAUAUUGACAAUCUUAGAUUUUUUUUUUUUGUGUUUGAGAGAGUAGAUGAAGAAAAAGAAAAAAAAAAUGCAAAAGUUCUCUAGAACAAAAAAAAUCAAACAAGGACAACAAAUAAUGCGGUAAGGCUGUCCAGUGUCUCUGAAUAUCUUCUUUUUUUGCUUGUAAUUUUAUUUUUUGAAGUUUAUUAUUAACCAUUGAUGGAUAUUGAUGCUAUAGUGUUUCCAUUCCUGAGGUAGCGAAUGUACGAACUUCUUUUAUGUCAAUAGCUCUGAAGCGGGGUAAUUUUUAUAUGUCUACCCUUCAAUUUUAUAAUACUUAAACUUCUUGAUUCUCUAAAAAUUAUGCUGGAUUCAACCGAUAGAUCCCAUGCACCUUGUUUACUAUGCAACUAUGAAAGUUGUUUUAUGUAUUAUUUCUAGGUUUGUUACACGGUUUUGCUUUUUGGUUUCAUGUUGAAUUUUAUAGAUCAUCAAAAAAAGAUGAACAAGAAUUAGUAAUGAAUAUGCUGCCAGUUCUUUACACUGGGUCUAACGAUGAUCUAACACACUGGAAACAGGUACAAACUAUUUUUUUGUUAAACUAUUUUCUUAUUAAAGUCUUUACUUAUAGUGUGCAACAUGCAGUUGAAACAUUUCUUUAAUUUUUUCUUGUGUUUUUAAUAUAGUUAACAUUUCUUUAAAUUUUUCUUUUUAAUAUAAAAAAUGUAAACCCAGUGUUUGAUCUAAUAUAAAAAUUAGUGGGUACAUAUCCAUUCAUCCAAAUGUUUAAUCAAGAUCUUAGCAAUACAAAGGAUAUUUCAUAAUGUGACAGCAAUAAAACUCUAACAGACAAAAAUAAAUACUUUAUACGCAUUAGUUGAAGAUGAUUUGAAGCUGUUCGAAAAGAUGUUGUAAUCACUACAAAUCAACCAUACCACCAUUAGCUUCUCUGUCAAUUUAGCCAAGCCUCAACUUUAAGUUAAAACAGAAGCAGAUUAAACAUAAAUAAAUGAUUUUGUAUAAUUUAAAAAAAAAGAAAAUAUAAAAUAAAUUUGUAAUUUAAAAAAAUGAUCUUUGCAACACUCGAUAGUAGGAUCUCAGAGCUAUCAAUUCUCUUCAUCUUGCUGCCAGCUGUUCCGUUUUCACUGAAGGCAGCACUACCACUAACUGAUGCCGCUGUUCUUUCUCUUUGCGGUUGCAUCAACAGCCACAGUCAACCUUGACUCAUUGUUCUUCAUCCUUGCUGUCUACCUCUCUCUCCUCUUUUAUUUGCCAGACGCUCUCCUAACCAUGGCACCGACCACCUUCAUUCUCAGUCUUACUUGCCGGAUACUACUUCCAUCGAGCUCCUUCUUGUUCCUCACCGGUGAUACCUUUCUGUAUUUUGAACCACCACUAUAUUUAUGUUUACUCACAUUUGCUUCAAUCCGACAAUCAGAGAGAGAGAGCGCGCUCGAGAGAGAUUUGAAUUGGACACUUGUCGAACGUUGAUUUACAUUUACAUUCAGUUCAGCUGGAAGAAGGUCAAGAUUUUGAAGGCGAGGUGAUAUUGAGCCAACAAUCAACUCUUUCACGGUACCGUUCAGGAUUGGUGAAAGGAGCCACGUACAACUACAUGUGUCAGUAUUAUCUUGUUGAUUUUCUAAUUGCAUUCAAGUAGUUUUAUUCCCUUAUAAUUUAUCAUUAUUCAUAAAUACAGUUUACAAAAUAAAAUUGAGUAAAAAAUAAAGAUAAAAUCAAAGUUUGUAAGCCUAACAAAAUAGCUUUUCAUGAGAAAAUUUGAGUUGAUAUUUAUAUAUUUGCAAAAAAAAAAAUUACCAAUGUACUUGAAGGAAGGAUUAGACCUGUGAAUUUGAGUCAGCUAUCUCUGGCAGUGGUGAAAUAUGAAAGCAUGUCCUAAAGAAGAGGGUUUCAUUUUACUUAAAUUUUAGUAAACAAAGAACUAUAUUUUAAAACUUUCUACAUAUGAUUUUACAAUACUGGAUUUCAACAUUCAACUAAAAGAAUACAGAUUAAGUAUCUUGUCAAUAAGCAUUUGGCCCAUCCAGUCAAAAACUAUCACAUCCACCUUCUUUUUUAUUUGAACAUCUUACUUUCAAGUAAAAUUCAAUAAAAAUUUUAUAUACUUUAAAGAGUUGAAGAAACCAAAAUGAUUUUCGCAACCAAAAGGUCUUUGUAAUUGUUUAAAUUAAGAUUUAGCACGUGAUUUCCUUAUCCAAUUCAAAAAAUAAAAGUGAAAUCAAAUUCAUACCGCACAUCCAAAUGCAAGUCUAGACCAUCAUAAUUUAAAGUAGAAAAGUACAAAAACUCUUUCGAAGUUUAAAACUUAUUGUUCAUAGUAACCUACCUCAAAUCGUCCAUUCAGUACAACGAUAACAUUUGAAAGAUCAUUUGUGACAACAAUAUUUGUCACCUGCUUGUAGAAAGGUAAAAGUAAGUGGAAACCAAGAACCCAAG